UUGGAGGGCAAGUCUGGUGCCAGCAGCCGCGGUAAUUCCAGCUCCAAUAGCGUAUAUUAAAGUUGUUGCAGUUAAAAAGCUCGUAGUUGAAUUUCGGGGUCAGCAGGUUGGUCGUGCCACUGGUAUGCACUGGCUUCGCUGAUUCCUCCUUUCUGAAGAACUGUAAUGCCAUUAAUUUGGUGUUGCAGGGAAACAGGACUGUUACUUUGAAAAAAUUAGAGUGUUUAAAGCAGGCUUUGGCUUGAAUACAUUAGCAUGGAAUAAUGAAAUAGGACGUUCGAUCCUAUUUUGUUGGUUUCUAGGAUUGACGUAAUGAUUAAUAGGGAUAGUUGGGGGCAUUAGUAUUCAAUUGUCAGAGGUGAAAUUCUUGGAUUUAUUGAAGACUAACUACUGCGAAAGCAUUUGCCAAGGAUGUUUUCAUUAAUCAAGAACGAAAGUUAGGGGAUCGAAGACGAUCAGAUACCGUCGUAGUCUUAACCAUAAACUAUGCCGACUAGGGAUCGGAUGAUGUUAAUUUUUUAAUGACUCAUUCGGCGCCUUACGAGAAAC
rnacentral:rRNA from 1 species